rnacentral:rRNA from 1 species
GACAGAGGGUGCAAACGUUGUUCGGAUUUACUGGGCGUAAAGCGCGUGUAGGCGGCUUCGCAAGUUGGAUGUGAAAGCCCACGGCUCAACCGUGGAAGCGCAUCCAAAACUGCGUCGCUCGAGUCUCGGAGAGGAAGGUGGAAUGCUUGGUGUAGAGGUGAAAUUCGUAGAUAUCAAGCAGAACACCUGCGGCGAAGGCGGCCUUCUGGACGAUGACUGACGCUGAGACGCGAAAGCGUGGGGAGCAAACAGGAUUAGAAACCCCCGUAGUCC